AAACGAUGGGUGCUAGUUGUCAGGCAGCUUGCUGCUUGGUGACGCAGCUAACGCGUUAAGCACCCCGCCUGGGGACUACGGUCGCAAGACUAAAACUCAAAGGAAUUGACGGGGGCCCGCACAAGCGGUGGAGCAUGUGGUUUAAUUCGAGGCAACGCGAAGAACCUUACCAGCUUUUGACAUCCCGGUCGCGGUUAGCAGAGAUGCUUUCCUUCAGUUCGGCUGGACCGGUGACAGGUGCUGCAUGGUUGUCGUCAGCUCGUGUCGUGAGAUGUUGGGUUAAGUCCCGCAACGAGCGCAACCCUCGCCUUUAGUUGCCAGCAUUCAGUUGGGCACUCUAGAGGGACUGCCGGUGAUAAGCCGGAGGAAGGUGGGGAUGACGUCAAAUCAUCAUGGCCCUUACGGGCUGGGCUACACACGUGCUACAAUGGCGGUGACAGUGAGCAGCCACUCAGCAAUGGGGAGCUAAUCUCUAAAAGCCGUCCCAGUUCGGAUUGUUCUCUGCAACUCGAGAGCAUGAAGUUGGAAUCGCUAGUAAUCGUGGAUCAGCAUGCCACGGUGAAUACGUUCCCGGGCCUUGUACACACCGCCCGUCACACCAUGGGAGUUGGUUUUACCCGAAGACUGUGUGCUAACUUAGGAGGCAGCAGGCCACGGUAAGGUCAGCGACUGGGGUGAAGUCGUAACAAGGUAGCCGUA
rnacentral:rRNA from 1 species